rnacentral:rRNA from 1 species
AGUGAACGCUGGCGGUGGGCCUAACACAUGCAAGUCGAACGGCAGCACAGUAAGAGCUUGCUCUUACGGGUGGCGAGUGGCGGACGGGUGAGGAAUACAUCGGAAUCUACUUUUUCGUGGGGGAUAACGUAGGGAAACUUACGCUAAUACCGCAUACGACCUACGGGUGAAAGCAGGGGAUCUUCGGACCUUGCGCGAUUGAAUGAGCCGAUGUCGGAUUGGCUAGUUGGCGGGGUAAAGGCCCACCAAGGCGACGAUCCGUAGCUGGUCUGAGAGGAUGAUCAGCCACACGGGAAAUGGGACACGGGCCAGGCUCCUACGGGAGGCGGCAGUGGGGAAUAGUGGACAAUGGGCGCAAGCCGGAUGCAGCAAUACCGCGUGGGUGAAGAAGGCCUUCGGGUUGUAAAGUCCUUUUGUUGGGAAAGAAAAGCAGCAGGUUAAUACCCCGCUGUGCUGACGGUACCCAAAGAAUAAGCACCGGCUAACUUCGUG